CAGAUUUUUAUUUUAGAAAGGUAAGGGUAGAGGAAGGAGGAGUAGAAGCUUACCUGUUGGGAAACUAUUGCAGUCAACUAGUCAGGAAAAGCUGAUGGCUUCAAUUACAACACUGACAACUUAGGUGGAGAAGAGGAGGUGGAUCGAAGGUCAAUUUUGAAGAAUUUGUGUCUUGAGCCAGGAAGGCGGCGGUUUGCACCCAAAGUGCUUCAGGACUGGAGCCAACAGGAGGCCAGGUUAUGAAUGUCAGGAGACCU
rnacentral:lncRNA from 1 species